GGGUUUGCGGUGUAAGUGCAGCCCGUCUUACACCGUGCGGCACAGGCACUAGUACUGAUGUCGUUUACAGGGCUUUUG
rfam:Bat coronavirus Cp/Yunnan2011, complete genome.